rnacentral:sRNA from 1 species
CUAUAUAGAAUAUAUUGGGGCAAUCACAAAACCGAACUAAAGCCCAAGUGUCAGGCAAAUGUUUCAGAGUGUCAGUGUGCUGUUGAGAGUCUGAGUGGCGAGGUGAGAAGGACAACGACAAUGCAAAAAGUUUUUUGAGAGGAGUGCAGGACAAAGUUUUAUUAUUAUUAGCAUGGCUUUUGGCUUUCAUUAGUUUCAACUUUUGACAGAAAUUAUAUUGAGUAUAUACUAUACAGAGCCACUGGCAGCCGACACGCACAUACAUAUUGAUGAUGAUCAUGAUGGACGAAAAAGUUUACUCCUCGGCCUUAGUCUCAGUCUCAGUCACAGCCUCUCAGCCUUAGCCGCAAAGUUUCUUUUUCAUUUUUGCUGUUUUGUUUAAUUUGCGUUAUUUAUAAGCUGCCAAAAAAAGCCUCCGGCAGAUGGUGGUCAGGCCGAAAAAGAGCCAAGUCGAAAAACUUGUCUAGCACUUGAUGUUUCUUCAGUUCAACACACGCAUUAAGCCGUAGCCGUAGCUGGAGAUGGAGAUGGAGCUGGGGCUGAGACUACCAAGAAAGUGGCAGACAAAAAGUAGCAGGAAUGGCUGCCAGCUAAAUGUGCACAAAAGUAAACAGGCAACACUUAAGUCGGCUCCCAAUGAAAACAAUGAAAAGUAAGCCCAAGGUAAGGCUCAGACUCAGUCUCUCCCCUCCGUAUCUAGCACUUUCACGUCGAGAGUCGUGGGGCGUUGCCAUUUAAGGACUCUCUAAACGUGGCCGACUUGGUGAUGGCAAAGUACCAGCCAGCGCAAAUCUGAAGUUUGAGAUUUGCUGGCAUUUUAAAUGCCAACAAAAUCCGCAUUGUCAUACCUUGAUAAAUAGCAGAAAUUACUCUCGGAAAGACUCCAGCCUCUUGCUGCCUGCCACUUGGCAAAAGUUCUGAAGAAAAAGUGUCAAGUUGAAGAACUAAAAUGAAUUCCAUGUAUUUCAAUAUGAUGCUCUCACGUUUCCCAGGAAAGCCUACUAGCCUACGAGCCGAGAAUUCAUAAAAUGCUAUCCUUUGAAUGCCUCUCCUGGACAGAUAGCGAAUGGCAUCACCUCCCUUUCACUUAUCCGUGUGAUGACUCUCUAUCCGCUCGCACGAUGAUAGUGCUGCUUUGGCCUAAAAAUGCACAACUUAACUUUUUGACAAAAUGCCCCCAUCCCCGCCAUGGGCAAAAAAAGUUCUCCUGCCCCCGAGGUCUGGCUCAGAUCCAUCCAUCCCAUGGCCCGCCAUUCCAGCCACCACAUCGUGAUGACUUUCAGGCUUUCAUUAUUCAUUAUCUAUGCCUAGAGCAAAUCUGGGGAUCAAGGUUUUCGGUUGGCGUUUGGAUUUUGCGUUGCCUUGGUUUUAAUUAAUGAAGCUACAAUAUGACAACAAAGCUUAACUAAUUAAUUUGUUGUCUGGGCUGCUGGUAUCAUCAAAAUUUAUAAGAAUACAAGAAUUCUUUUCUCCAAAAAACAGAAAUGCCAAAAAAUCCACCCCCGACAUUCAAGUUAUGGAAGACAAACUGGGCCAUAAAUUUCCAAAAAAUUCGAGUUUUUCAUCUGCAGUUUUCCGACACAGACGAGUCAAGAGGGCAGGAGAGCGUAAGUCAAGAUGCGUUUGCUAAUGUUGUGAAAGAAUCGAGAACAAACAGAGUAAAAAUACCGAAAAUAUGCAAAUCAACUUACUCCGAUGGCUGGCAAGGAACAAAAAGCAUGAAUGUGGGCAUGCGAUACAUUUCGAUAUGGAUUGAUGUAAAAUUGAUGCGACGCAGAGUGGGUUAUUGUCUGGCCCGCAUAAACAAAACACAACAAAACAAGUAUAAAGUAAAAACAAAACACAGCACCAGAGAAAAAAAGCAUCAAGAAAUUUCAAUAAUGCUAAAGCAUUUGUUCCCAACUUGUAGGAUGGAAGGGCGAAAAAAUAUGAGGAAGCAGACAAAGCCGGUAGAGCACUUCAGGCAAUUUAUGGCAUAUGUUACCUAACACACACACCCAUACAUCCACUCGAAGGACACCCCUUCGCCCGCAUACACACUCAUAUGUAAAUGUUAAAAUAAUACAUAUGCGUAUGGCAUAAAAAUUGAUAUGCCAACAUUUCUUUCAUGUGUGAGUAAUUCACAAGUAAAAUGCAGAAAGUUUUUAAAUAAAAUAUA